rnacentral:rRNA from 1 species
UACAGAGGUCUCAAGCGUUGUUCGGAUUCAUUGGGCGUAAAGGGUGCGUAGGCGGCGCGGUAAGUCGGGUGUGAAAUCUCGGAGCUUAACUCCGAAACUGCAUUCGAUACUGCCGUGCUUGAGGACUGGAGAGGAGACUGGAAUUUACGGUGUAGCGGUGAAAUGCGUAGAUAUCGAGAGGAACACCUGCGGCGAAGGCGGGUUGCUGGGCUGACACUACGCUGAUGCGCGAAAGCCAGGGGGAGCGAAACGGGG